rnacentral:rRNA from 1 species
GUAGUCUCGCACAGAUGCAUAUCAAUAAGCGGAGGAAAAGAAACUAACAAGGAUUCCCCUAGUAACGGCGAGUGAAGCGGGAAGAGCUCAAAUUUGAAAUCUUAAAGGGUCUCCCUUUACGAAUUGUAGUUUAAAGAAGUGUUUUCUGUUGAGGUUUUGGUAAAAGUUCUUUGGAAUAGGACAUCAUAGAGGGUGAGAAUCCCGUAUUUGACCUUUACUUUCAACUUUGUGAUACACUUUCAAAGAGUCGGAUUGUUUGGGAAUGCAGUCCAAAAUGGGUGGUAAAUUUCAUCUAAAGCUAAAUAUUGGCGAGAGACCGAUAGCGAACAAGUACCGUGAGGGAAAGAUGAAAAGAACUUUGAAAAGAGAGUUAAACAGUACGUGAAAUUGUCAAAAGGGAAGCGUUUAACACCAGUGUUGUUUUUCUGAAAAUCAAUUAAAGAACUGUUUAUGCUAAGUUGUUUAGACUUUAUCAGCUAAUCUGCUUAGUUUUGAGCUUUUCUUUAAUGCACUUUUCAGUUAACAAGUCAACAUCAAUUUCUUUUGCUGUAAAAAAGCUUGAGGAAGGUGGCUUGAGAUUCGUCUUAAGUGUUUAUAGCCUCUUGCCUAUGCAGUCGGAGAGAUUGAGGUCUGCAGCGUAGAUCCUUCGGGGCUAAAUGCAUUUGUGCUAAGUUAUAGCAUUUUAUAGACAACUUGUUGACUAUGAUUUGUCUUGUAGCUUACUCGCUUAUGUUAUUUUACCUACGCUUAGGAUGUUGACGCAUGAGAUAUACGC